AAGAAGCAGAAAUUGUAAGCAGUUCAUCACCAGAUCAAGCCCAUCAGCUUGCCAAAGACAGGCUGCACCUCAAGAAAAGGUCAAAGGGGUGACAAGUCUCCGUGAUUGUUAUGCUAUUGGAGAUGGUUUUGGAAUUAACAUAGGAGGCAGAAGAAACAGCAAUGGCUUUGGGUUUGUGGUGUGGCCAAUGCACAAGACAUGCUGAGGAAGCAAGAACCAGCCUGAGGCUACAGCGUUUCCCUGUACUUGCACUUCCUGACCAUUGAAAGCUGCUGCAAUACCAACAACAGUGUCAUACUGUCUGGCAAGAGAAAAAUUUUUUCUUCUAUAUUAAUAUUUUGUAUUAUAAGUAAAUAUGUGCAAAAAUAUAGAAUGAUAAGCUUAAGGUUAGAAUAAAAAAUGCUUUACAGAUAAUAGUCUAAGGACU
rnacentral:lncRNA from 14 species